ACGAACGCUGGCGGCGUGCUUAACCCAUGCAAGUCGCACGGAAAGGCCCUGCUUGCAGGGUACUCGAGUGGCGAACGGGUGAGUAACACGUGGGUGAUCUGCCCUGCACUUCGGGAUAAGCCUGGGAAACUGGGUCUAAUACCGGAUAGGAGCCAUUUUUAGUGUGAUGGUUGGAAAGUUUUUUCGGUGUAGGAUGAGCUCGCGGCCUAUCAGCUUGUUGGUGGGGUAAUGGCCUACCAAGGCGGCGACGGGUAGCCGGCCUGAGAGGGUGGACGGCCACAUUGGGACUGAGAUACGGCCCAGACUCCUACGGGAGGCAGCAGUGGGGAAUAUUGCACAAUGGGCGCAAGCCUGAUGCAGCGACGCCGCGUGGGGGAUGACGGCCUUCGGGUUGUAAACUCCUUUCGCUAGGGACGAAGCUUUUUGUGACGGUACCUAGAUAAGAAGCACCGGCUAACUACGUG
rnacentral:rRNA from 1 species